rnacentral:rRNA from 1 species
AUUGAACGCUGGCGGCAGGCCUAACACAUGCAAGUCGAGCGGAUGAAGGGAGCUUGCUCCUGGAUUCAGCGGCGGACGGGUGAGUAAUGCCUAGGAAUCUGCCUGGUAGUUGGGGAUAACGUCCGGAAACGGGCGCUAAUACCGCAUACGUCCUGAGGGAGAAAGUGGGGGAUCUUCGGACCUCACGCUAUCAGAUGAGCCUAGGUCGGAUUAGCUAGUUGGUGGGGUAAAGGCCUACCAAGGCGACGAUCCGUAACUGGUCUGAGAGGAUGAUCAGUCACACUGGAACUGAGACACGGUCCAGACUCCUACGGGAGGCAGCAGUGGGGAAUAUUGGACAAUGGGCGAAAGCCUGAUCCAGCCAUGCCGCGUGUGUGAAGAAGGUCUUCGGAUUGUAAAGCACUUUAAGUUGGGAGGAAGGGCAGUAAGUUAAUACCUUGCUGUUUUGACGUUACCAACAGAAUAAGCACCGGCUAACUUCGUG